ACUCCUACGGGAGGCAGCAGUGGGGAAUAUUGCACAAUGGAGGAAACUCUGAUGCAGCAACGCCGCGUGGAGGAUGAAGGUUUUCGAAUCGUAAACUCCUUUUAUGUUAGAAGAUAAUGACGGUAUAACAUGAAUAAGCACCGGCUAACUCCGUGCCAGCAGCCGCGGUAACACGGGGGGUGCAAGCGUUACUCGGAAUUACUGGGCGUAAAGGGUACGUAGGUGUUCUAUUAAGUCAGAUGUGAAAUCCUAUGGCUCAACCAUAGAACUGCAUUUGAAACUAAUAGAAUAGAGUUCAGGAGGGGUAAGUGGAAUUAGUGGUGUAGGGGUAAAAUCCGUAGAUAUCACUAGGAAUACCAAAAGCGAAGGCGACUUACUGGAAUGAUACUGACACUGAGGUACGAAAGCGUGGGGAGCGAACGGGAUUAGAUACCCCAGUAGUCC
rnacentral:rRNA from 1 species